CAACGUGCAUGUUAUGAUAAUCAAAACAGCAGGUUUGGGGAAUAUAAAAUUCGGUAGAGCGUAUCGACGGAAGAUAUUCUGGAUUUUUUUAACUGAGGUAUAAGUUUUUAAAGACGGAGAUAUCUUCGAAGAUGAUCAUUCUGAGAAAACUAUAAGAAUUAAUCUAAAGACAGGCAUCAACCAUGGCAGAGAGAUUCCCAAGCGGCAAGGAUAGCGACGAUGGUUUUGAGCUGCCCGAAGGGAGAAGGAAAGAAAUGGAAG